rnacentral:misc_RNA from 1 species
AAAAAACACAAUUACGGCUCUUCACAGAGGUCAUGAAUUAGGAUUUGUAGAUGGAUCGUCCUUCCAGCCCUUGGAGAGAAGAUCGUAGUUGAUUGAUGCAAGCUGGGAGAGAUUCUUGAAUGAAAAAUUACUGAAUGAGUAAUUGACAGACGAGCCAGACUCGAACUCUGCAAGUCCCCCACAUUCAUCUCCCACUUCAUCUUGGCGAUUG